rnacentral:tRNA from 1 species
UUAAAAUUAGUUAAUAACCAUAACACAGCCUUGUCAAGGCUGAAUAAUCACCCACGUGAUAUUUUAAA